UACGUAGGGUGCGAGCGUUAAUCGGAAUUACUGGGCGUAAAGGGUGCGCAGGCGGUUCUGCAAGUCAGGCGUGAAAGCCCCGGGCUUAACCUGGGAAUGGCGCUUGAAACUACAGGACUGGAGUAUGGCAGAGGGAGGUGGAAUUCCACGUGUAGCGGUGAAAUGCGUAGAGAUGUGGAGGAACACCGAUGGCGAAGGCAGCCUCCUGGGCCAAUACUGACGCUUAUGCACGAAAGCGUGGGGAGCAAACAGG
rnacentral:rRNA from 1 species